CUACGGGCGGCUGCAGUCGCGGAACUUUUACAAUGCACGCAAGUGUGAUAAAGCGAACCAAAGUGCUAUUCUUUUUGAAUAGCUUUUUCUUAGUGUAAAAAACUAGGAGAAUAAGGACUGGGAAAGACUGGUGCCAGCCGCCGCGGUAAUACCAGCAGUUCAAGUUGCAUCCAUUUUUAUUGGGUCUAAAACAUCCGUAGCUUGUUACUUAAGUCUUUUGUGAAAUCCUACGUCUCAAGCGUGGCGAAGUGCAGAAGAUACUGGGUAACUAGAGAUCGGUAGACGUAAGGAGUACACCGGGGGUAGCGGUUAAAUGUGUUAAUCCUCGGUGGACUAACGAUUUAGCGAAGGCACCUUACGAGGACGAAUCUGACAGUGAGGGAUGAAGGCCAGGGGCGCAAAACGGAUUAGAUACCCGUGUAGUC
rnacentral:rRNA from 1 species